UUUCCGUAGGUGAACCUGCGGAAGGAUCAUUACAGAGUCCGGCCCUGGUGGCCGUCGCGACCUCCGGGUCGGGGCGCGUCCCCGGGUGCCACCCACCGGGGGCGGGGAGUCGUCGGCGAGAGCCGGCGGCGAGCCGCUCCCACACCUUUUUGAACCCGUGAGCUCCAGGAAAACCGGGGAGGUCGGGACCGGGAGACCGGGACCGCCGCCCCACCCCCACCGGCCCCAGGCCGGGAGUGAGACUACAAUUUGAAACAAAACUUUCAGCAACGGAUCUCUUGGUUCUU
rnacentral:misc_RNA from 1 species